GUGAAUAUAUGCCUUGACAGGAUUACAAUGGUUUUGAUGAUUGACAAAAGAAGUCCUAGAAGAACAAAGAUGCAAAAAGCGGAAAAGAAUAUUCAAGCUUUCUUGUCUUGGAUUUUAUUUUUAUUUAUAUUACGAAUUUAUUGUAAGUGGUUAAAAAUCUCUCAAGAAAAUAAAUCACACACUCACAAUAUUCUUCAAACAAAUGUGAUUUUGCAUUAAAAUAUUUUUGCAUGAAAAAGCCAUAAUUGAUUAUGGAAAAUUGCAUAAAUAUUUAUUUACAUUAAAAAUAUUUUUGCAUUCAUAUUAUGAUUUCAUUUCUCAAGCCAUAUUCUAUUAUAUUUAUUCGGUUAAUUGGCUGGCAUAGAAUUUCUCCUAGUAUCGUUUUCAUAACAACAUAGUCAAAUAAUCAAUUAUGUUUAUACACAAUUGAUUACGGUGAAUUAAACUUUUCUAUCCGUUGGCAAUUAAACAUAUAAUCGUUGGAAUGAAAUCAAGUUUUUAAUACCAUGCAAUUGAAUGGAUUUGAUUCUUAAAAAGAUUACAUAUUGCCUAAUUGGUCUAUAUGUAUUCAACGGAUAAUUUUGUAUGUCCAACGGCUACUUGAUUUUAUCAUGCUACGGCUACUUAUUUUCUCAUAUGAAUUUCACUUUCAUUUUUGCAUAUAAAUAGAUGCAUUGUGGUAGCUCAUUUUCAACAACUCAUAUUUGCACUAAACAUUGUGAAAAAUA
rnacentral:lncRNA from 1 species